rnacentral:tRNA from 1 species
GGGGACGUAGCUCAGCGGUAGAGCACCUGCUUUGCACGCAGGGGGUCGCCGGUUCGAAUCCGGUCGUCUCCA